UACAGAGGAGCCAAGCGUUGUCCGGAUUGACUGGGCGUAAAGCGCACGCAGGCGGUUGCGCGCGUGGGGUGUGAAAUCUGGCCGCUUAACGGCCAGGCGCCAUCCCAUACGGCGCGACUGGAGUGAUGCAGAGGUCGAUGGAAUUGCCGGUGUAGUGGUGAAAUGCGUAGAGAUCGGCAGGAACACCCAGGGGGAAACCAGUCGACUGGGCAUCUACUGACGCUGAGACGCGAAAGCGUGGGGAGCGAACAGG
rnacentral:rRNA from 1 species